rnacentral:lncRNA from 1 species
GGGAACAACAUAAUAUGGUGCGAUGAGUCAUUUCGUGAGUUUUGAGUGAAAACCAAUGGCUAAAACUAUAUACUACACCAACCACUCCAUUAGAGAACGAACUUCGUACGAACAUGAAUAGUCCAAUUUCUUGCACCAAACGAUAUUGGAUGGAGCCCAAAACUUUAGGAACAUCGUAAUAUGGUGCGAUGAGUCAUUGGUGAGUUUUGAGCGAAAUCCAAUCGCUAAAACUAUGCAAUACACCAAC